UCGCGGCGGCGUGCGCAGAAGGGUCUGGGCUCGAGCCUGCCUGGAGCCGCCGCCGGUGCAGAUCUUGGUGGUAGUAGCAAAUACUCCAGCGAGGCCCUGGAGGACUGAUGUGGAGAAGGGUUUCGUGUGAACAGCCGUUGCACACGAGUCAGUCGAUCCUAAGCCCUAGGAGAAAUCCGACGCCUACGGCGACGGGAAUAAUUUUUUCGAGAAUGCGACCCGUUGAUCGGGCGAAAGGGAAUCCGGUUCCUAUUCCGGAACCCGGCAGCGGAACCGCUGUUUGUCGGGCCCUCACAAGGGGUUCGUCAGGGUAACCUAAAAGGGCCCGGAGACGCCGUCGGGAGCCCCGGAAAGAGUUUUCUUUUCUGCAUGAGCGUUCGAGUUCCCUGGAAUCCUCUCGCAGGGAGAUAGGGUUUGGAACGCGAAGAGCACCGCAGUUGCGGCGGUGCCCGGGAAUUCCCGACGGACCUUGAAAAUCCGGGAGAGGGCCACGUGGAGGUGUCGCGCCGGCUCGUACCCAUAUCCGCAGCAGGUCUCCAAGGUGAAGAGCCUCUAGUCGAUAGAAUAAUGUAGGUAAGGGAAGUCGGCAAAUCGGAUCCGUAACUUCGGG
rnacentral:rRNA from 1 species